GGAUUAGAUACCCUGGUAGUCCAUGCCCUAAACGAUGUGUACUAGGUCGAGGAGGUUUUGACGCCAUCUCGGCCGCAGCGAAAGCAUUAAGUACACCGCCUGGGGAGUACGGUCGCAAGGCUAAAACUCAAAGGAAUUGACGGGGGCUCACACAAGCGGUGGAGCAUGUGGCUUAAUUCGAGGCAACGCGAAGAACCUUAUCCUGGGUUUGACAUGGACGGAUUAGGCUCCCGAAAGGGAGUUCGACGCUCUCACGAGUGGAACGUUCACAGGUGCUGCAUGGCUGUCGUCAGCUCGUGCCG
rnacentral:rRNA from 1 species